rnacentral:rRNA from 1 species
GAGUUUGAUCUUGGCUCAGAGCGAACGCUGGCGGCAGGCCUAAAACAUGCAAGUCGAACGCACCUUCGGGUGAGUGGCGGACGGGUGAGUAACGCGUGGGAACGUGCCCUUUGGUUCGGAACAACUCAGGGAAACUUGAGCUAAUACCGGAUGUGCCCUUCGGGGGAAAGAUUUAUCGCCAUUGGAGCGGCCCGCGUUGGAUUAGGUAGUUGGUGGGGUAAAGGCCCACCAAGCCUACGAUCCAUAGCUGGUCUGAGAGGAUGAUCAGCCACAUUGGGACUGAGACACGGCCCAAACUCCUACGGGAGGCAGCAGUUAGGAAUCUUGGGCAAUGGGCGAAAGCCUGACCCAGCCAUGCCGCGUGAAUGAUGAAGGUCCUAGGAUUGUAAAAUUCUUUCACCGGGAAGAUAAUGACGGUACCCGGAGAAGAAGCUCCGGCUAACUUCGUGCCAGCCGCCGCCGUAAC